AUGCAUGUAUUGCAACACACGAAGAAAUUACAGGUAGUAAAAGGAAGAAUGCUACACAGCUUCACAAAAGGAAGAGUAAGAAAAAUCAGCGAUAUGAAGGAAAGUUCUACCUUUUCUAUUUCAUGGCGGAGUUCGAUAUUUUCAGACCAACUUCAAUUGAGAAUGGACAUGCCAUGCUACCCACCGAAGCCAGCUAUGUGCUGCUCAAAUAGACAAAUACUGCCGAGUAAUUGUGAAGCAACGUUUUGGAACUAUUGGCUCGCUUAUAGAUAUCGGCAUACUGCCGGGAUGAAAAUGGAAAUGAUCAAUAGCAGACUAGUUAGGCUAUCGGCGUACUGCCGGGAUGAAAAAUUGAAAUGA
rnacentral:rRNA from 1 species